rnacentral:lncRNA from 1 species
GGACAGUGGAAGUGAGGGAUCCAAAGCCAUGUAUCAGAUCAGUGAACAAGAUGAUUAGUACUCUGUGCUCCUGAUUUUCUGAUUCCUUAGCUUAUUCCCAUGUCAAAAUGCCUCUCAAAAUGCUCUCAGUGUUAAAGUAAGUUCAUUCAGUAGUUCAAGAUGGUUCCACUUAAAGAUGGAAGGGUUAGAAAAGCAAAAAGUAGAUGGGCACUACAAUGUGUGUUUUGCACAUGUGUUUUAAUAUUGGACAUUCUGCCGGAAUUUGUUUUAAUUUGUAUAUUCUGCUAUAAAUUUGACCCUGUACUGGGCAUGAUUAUUUUUUUUUAAUUUUUUUUUUUUAGUUGAAGAUGGACACAAUACCUUUAUUUAUUUGUAUGUGGUGCUGAGAAUCGAAUCCAGUGCCUCACACAUGCCAGGCAAACGCUCUACCACUGGGCCACAACCCCAGCCCCUGGGCAUGAUUAUUAUACAUCACAACUAAAGGAUGGUUGUGCUGUUUAUAAGCAUUUGCCAUGAAGGGUGCAUAGAAACCCGCAUUUUCAUGGAAGAAUAAAGAAAAGUGACUUUAUAUAAAAGCAGUUGUGUGUAGAAAGCUGAAAAGAAGAGUUGCUUGAGAAUAAGAAGCUGAGAAGGUAUUUUUCUGUAUACUGAUUCUCUUUUC